UGGGGAAUAUUGCGCAAUGGGGGGAACCCUGACGCAGCCAUGCCGCGUGAAUGAAGAAGGCCUUCGGGUUGUAAAGUUCUUUCGGUAUUGAGGAAGGAGUGUAUGUUAAUAGCAUACAUUAUUGACGUUAAAUACAGAAGAAGCACCGGCUAACUCCGUGCCAGCAGCCGCGGUAAUACGGAGGGUGCGAGCGUUAAUCGGAAUAACUGGGCGUAAAGGGCACGCAGGCGGUUAUUUAAGUGAGGUGUGAAAGCCCCGGGCUUAACCUGGGAAUUGCAUUUCAGACUGGGUAACUAGAGUACUUUAGGGAGGGGUAGAAUUCCACGUGUAGCGGUGAAAUGCGUAGAGAUGUGGAGGAAUACCGAAGGCGAAGGCAGCCCCUUGGGAAUGUACUGACGCUCAUGUGCGAAAGCGUGGGGAGCAAACAGGAUUAGAUACCCUGGUAGUCCACGCUGUAAACGCUGUCGAUUUGGGGAUUGGGCUUAAAGCUUGGUGCCCGUAGCUAACGUGAUAAAUCGACCGCCUGGGGAGUACGGCCGCAAGGUUA
rnacentral:rRNA from 1 species